rnacentral:rRNA from 1 species
UACGGAGGGUGCAAGCGUUGUUCGGAUUUAUUGGGCGUAAAGGGCGUGCAGGCGGUCUUGCAAGUCCGAUGUGAAAGCCCCGGGCUCAACCCGGGAAGUGCAUCGGAAACCGCGAGACUUGAGUACGGGAGAGGGCAGUGGAAUUCCUGGAGUAGGGGUGAAAUCCGUAGAUAUCAGGAAGAACACCGGUGGCGAAGGCGGCCUGCUGGGCUAUGGCUGACACUGAGGCGCGACAGCGUGGGGAGCAAACAGG